GAUGAACGCUGGCGGCGUGCCUAAUACAUGCAAGUCGAGCGAACAGAUGAGGAGCUUGCUCCUCUGACGUUAGCGGCGGACGGGUGAGUAACACGUGGAUAACCUACCUAUAAGACUGGGAUAACUUCGGGAAACCGGAGCUAAUACCGGAUAAUAUAUCGAACCGCAUGGUUCAAUAGUGAAAGACGGUUUUGCUGUCACUUAUAGGUGGAUCCGCGCCGCAUUAGCUAGUUGGUAAGGUAACGGCUUACCAAGGCAACGAUGCGUAGCCGACCUGAGAGGGUGAUCGGCCACACUGGAACUGAGACACGGUCCAGACUCCUACGGGAGGCAGCAGUAGGGAAUCUUCCGCAAUGGGCGAAAGCCUGACGGAGCAACGCCGCGUGAGUGAUGAAGGUCUUCGGAUCGUAAAACUCUGUUAUUGGGGAAGAACAAAUGUGUAAGUAACUAUGCACGUCUUGACGGUACCUAAUCAGAAAGCCACGGCUAACUACGUG
rnacentral:rRNA from 1 species